rnacentral:rRNA from 1 species
UGGGGAAUUUUGGACAAUGGGCGAAAGCCUGAUCCAGCAAUGCCGCGUGUGUGAAGAAGGCCUUCGGGUUGUAAAGCACUUUUGUCCGGAAAGAAAUCCUUGGCUCUAAUACAGUCGGGGGAUGACGGUACCGGAAGAAUAAGCACCGGCUAACUACGUGCCAGCAGCCGCGGUAAUACGUAGGGUGCAAGCGUUAAUCGGAAUUACUGGGCGUAAAGCGUGCGCAGGCGGUUUGCUAAGACCGAUGUGAAAUCCCCGGGCUCAACCUGGGAACUGCAUUGGUGACUGGCAGGCUAGAGUAUGGCAGAGGGGGGUAGAAUUCCACGUGUAGCAGUGAAAUGCGUAGAGAUGUGGAGGAAUACCGAUGGCGAAGGCAGCCCCCUGGGCCAAUACUGACGCUCAUGCACGAAAGCGUGGGGAGCAAACAGGAUUAGAUACCCUGGGUAGUCCACGCCCUAAACGAUGUCACUAGUUGUGGGGAUUCAUUUCCUAGUAACGUAGCUAACGCGUGAAGUUGACCGCCUGGGGAGUACGGUCGCAAGAUU